rnacentral:rRNA from 1 species
GAUUGGGGAAUUUUCCGCAAUGGGCGAAAGCCUGACGGAGCAACGCCGCGUGAGGCAUGAAGGCCUCUGGGCUGUAAACCUCUUUUAUCAAGGAAGAAGAUCUGACGGUACUUGAUGAAUAAGCCACGGCUAAUUCCGUGCCAGCAGCCGCGGUAAUACGGGAGUGGCAAGCGUUAUCCGGAAUUAUUGGGCGUACAGCGUCCGCAGGCGGCCCUUCAAGUCUGCUGUUAAAAAGUGGAGCUUAACUCCAUCAUGGCAGUGGAAACUGUUGGGCUUGAGUGUGGUAGGGGCAGAGGGAAUUCCCGGUGUAGCGGUGAAAUGCGUAGAUAUCGGGAAGAACACCAGUGGCGAAGGCGCUCUGCUGGGCCAUCACUGACGCUCAUGGACGAAAGCCAGGGGAGCGAAAGG